rnacentral:lncRNA from 1 species
AGAAAUGUGAGGGAGGCAGGGCUUCAGGGGGCUCCUGUGCCCCAACGUGCCCUGCAGGGUCAGCCUGUACAGGACCUGGCCUUCCCCAGGAGGGGCACGGGGAAGAGGCGACGCCAGAGCCCUGGCACGAGCCUCAGAAGGGUCUCCUACCUCAGAGACAGGAUCUCCACGUCCUUGAACCCCUGCACCUUUUGGUAAAUCUUCUGCAUCUGAAAUGUGAAAAAUUGCUGGCUCACGUCUGAACCUCCAGAGCUGAGGGCAACCAGGGGAGGACCUUUGAGUUCCCUACCCCUUCGCCCUCACCUGACUGCGGAAGAUGCUGCUGAUAUCCUUGUAGGCCUUGGAAGUGUUGUCAUGGAGAUCCGGGAAGAACUCCUGGUCGACAGCCACCUCCAUGCCCACUUCAGCGUCCACAGUUUCUGCACACGGCAUGCCCUGCUCUGGUCACUUCACCAUCCUUCCUGUCUGACAUCACCCCCACCACCCUGACCUGAAGGCUCCUCCCAUGCACCCUCUCCGUGUUCCCAAGGACUGAUUGAAGAGCAGGAGGGAGAAAGGUAGGAAUUCUGGGAUGACUUGUCCCAAGAAGAGGGAAAGAAUGGAAGUCAGGGUGCUCUCGUUGUCUGCCGCAGUGGGAGGCGAAUAAUGGCCCCCACCGAUACCUAGGUCUCACUCCCCAGAACCUGUGAAUAUCUUCUGCUAGAUACGGGAGGAAUCAAGGUUCAGGUGGAAUGAAGAUUGCUGAUCGGCUGACGUUAAUUUGGGAAAAUUAAUGUGGACUAUGGGCAAAUGAAUGUCCACCCAGGUGGACCCAAUGUAAUCACGAGGGUCCUUAACAGUGGAAGACAGAGGCAAAAAGAGUCAGAAUGAGUCAGGUGAAGACAUGACUAGAAGAGAAAGGCACAGAGAUGCAAUGCUGCUGGCUUUGAAGAUGGAGAGAGGGGAGCUUGAGACAAGGAAGGUGGGAGGCACCAGAGCCUGGAAAGGGCACAGAAAUGGAUUCUUUCCCAGAGACUCCAGAAAGGAGCACAGCCCUGCCGACACCUUGAUUUAGCCCAGCAAGACCAUGUCAGAUUCUAAUCUGGAGAACUGUAAGAUGAGACAUUUGUGUUGUUACAGUUGCGAAGUUUGUGGUAAUUUGUGACAGCAGCAAUUAAAA